rnacentral:rRNA from 1 species
AUUGAACGCUGGCGGCAGGCCUAACACAUGCAAGUCGAACGGUAACAGGAAGCAGCUUGCUGCUUUGCUGACGAGUGGCGGACGGGUGAGUAAUGUCUGGGAAACUGCCUGAUGGAGGGGGAUAACUACUGGAAACGGUAGCUAAUACCGCAUAACGUCGCAAGACCAAAGAGGGGGACCUUCGGGCCUCUUGCCAUCGGAUGUGCCCAGAUGGGAUUAGCUAGUAGGUGGGGUAACGGCUCACCUAGGCGACGAUCCCUAGCUGGUCUGAGAGGAGGACCAGCCACACUGGAACUGAGACACGGUCCAGACUCCUACGGGAGGCAGCAGUGGGGAAUAUUGCACAAUGGGCGCAAGCCUGAUGCAGCCAUGCCGCGUGUAUGAAGAAGGCCUUCGGGUUGUAAAGUACUUUCAGCGGGGAGGAAGGGAGUAAAGUUAAUACCUUUGCUCAUUGACGUUACCCGCAGAAGAAGCACCGGCUAACUCCGUG